rnacentral:rRNA from 1 species
AGCGAACGCUGGCGGCAGGCUUAACACAUGCAAGUCGAGCGGGCAUAGCAAUAUGUCAGCGGCAGACGGGUGAGUAACGCGUGGGAACGUACCUUUUGGUUCGGAACAACACAGGGAAACUUGUGCUAAUACCGGAUAAGCCCUUACGGGGAAAGAUUUAUCGCCGAAAGAUCGGCCCGCGUCUGAUUAGCUAGUUGGUGAGGUAAUGGCUCACCAAGGCGACGAUCAGUAGCUGGUCUGAGAGGAUGAUCAGCCACAUUGGGACUGAGACACGGCCCAAACUCCUACGGGAGGCAGCAGUGGGGAAUAUUGGACAAUGGGCGCAAGCUUGAUCCAGCCAUGCCGCGUGAGUGAUGAAGGCCCUAGGGUUGUAAAGCUCUUUUGUGCGGGAAGAUGAUGACGGUACCGCAAGAAUAAGCCCCGGCUAACUUCGUGCCAGCCGCCGCCGUAA